AAAUUGAAGAGUUUGAUCAUGGCUCAGAUUGAACGCUGGCGGCAGGCCUAACACAUGCAAGUCGAACGGUAACAGAGAGCAGCUUGCUGCUUUGCUGACGAGUGGCGGACGGGUGAGUAAUGUCUGGGAAACUGCCUGAUGGAGGGGGAUAACUACUGGAAACGGUGGCUAAUACCGCAUAACGUCGCAAGACCAAAGAGGGGGACCUUCGGGCCUCUUGCCAUCAGAUGUGCCCAGAUGGGAUUAGCU
rnacentral:rRNA from 2 species